rnacentral:sRNA from 1 species
CACUCGUUUAAUAUUGAACCAUCAAUGAG